AUGACUUUUCCUUGAUACAGCAGGAAAUAUAUAUGGUGAAAGAAUGCAAACAUUGCAACAUCGUAGCCUAUUUUGGGAGCUAUCUCAGCCGUGAAAAGCUGUGGAUAUGCAUGGAAUACUGCGGUGGCGGAUCCCUUCAAGAUAUUUACCAUGUAACAGGACCUCUGUCAGAGCUGCAAAUCGCCUACGUGUGCCGGGAAACCUUGCAGGUACUGU